AUUGGGGCUAAGUCGUAACAAGGUAGCCGUACCGGAAGGUGCGGCUGGAAUACCUCCUUUCUAGAGCA
rnacentral:rRNA from 1 species